rnacentral:rRNA from 1 species
AACGAACGCUGGCGGCGUGCCUAAAACAUGCAAGUCGCACGAGAAAGUAUUUAUACGAGUAAAGUGGCGCACGGGUGAGUAACACGUGGAUAACAUACCUUCGAGACUGGUAUAACAGUUGGAAACGACUGAUAAUCCCAGAUAAAGUUUAGAAUACAUUGGGGUAUUUUGAAUGAAAGCGGGCCUUCGGGUGUCGGCUUGAAGAGUGGUCUGCGUCCCAUUAGCUAGUUGGUGAGGUAAAGGCUCAUCCAAGGCAUUGAUGGGUAGCUGGUCUGAGAGGACGAUCAGCCACACUGGGACUGAAACACGGCCCAGACUCCUACGGGAGGCAGCAGUUAGGAAUAUUGCGCAAUGGAGGGAACUCUGACGCAGCGACGCCGCGUGAGCGAAGAAGGCCUUAGGGUUGUAAAGCUCUGUUGAAAGGGAAGAAUGCUGACGGAUGAAUAAUUUGGUUAGUUGACGGUACCUUUUAAGAAAGCACCGGCUAACUCUGUGCCAG